rnacentral:rRNA from 1 species
CUCGACCUCAAAUCUGGUAGG